ensembl:lncRNA
UGUUUGCGUCCAAAGUCUAAAUUCUACCUAUUAUAUAGUGGUAGUUAAAUGCUUGGUAAAGUUUCUUGGUACUCAUCUGACCAACCGGAUAACUUAGAAUCAUUUAGAUCAGAUCACCAACUGGCAGCCUCCUGGCUGACUGGCCGCAGUAUAUUUUGUUUGGUGAGUUUGAAUUUAUAAUUUCUUCUUUGGAUGUGAUACUCACUGUGGAGCACUUGGCCCCCGUUUGUUUCAGUUCUGGCCUCCAAAGCAGAAGAACCAGCCCCACAGCCUCUAGGCAGAAAUCCUGUGCCUCCGGGCCAGUUCACAGGGCUGGAACCUUCCCUCAUGCUGCCACUGACCCUGUAGACUAUGAGUCUGUUACAUGGUGUAGACUGACCUCCCAUUUCUGGGGCCAAGAAGGGGUAGGAUUUGUCUAGGGUCACUUGGGGCCAUCUCAGCCCCAAAUGGGUCAUGUGUCCCUGGCAUCACUCCUGUGCCCAGCCUACCAUUGGCCCUGCCUCUGCACGUGGCCACUGUCAGCCCACCACCAUCCUGGAUUGUCCUGCUCAGGAAAGCUGAGGUCAAGUGGGUGGCCAGGGUAAGCCCCACACCAGCCAUGCCCCGUAGGUGUCCCAGGAUUUGGUUGUUCCAGGAAGAAAGAGUUGAUUUUUCCGUCAUGCAGCCCAGACAGGCCCCUUCAGGCCAGUGGAGAAGGGAGCCUCCCAGGGCUGCCUGGCAGAUACCCUGAUUUCCACUUCUUGAAGUGGCCACUUGGAAAAGAAAGGAAUCAGCGACUAAUCAAGCAUGAAGUACAGAAGCACACUCCAGGAAAUCAUGUGCCCCAGUCUGUUCCAUGGACAGUGCUGGGCAGGAGGAGGCUAGGAAGGUUGUAGUCAAAAAGGUCAAACAGGAUGAGGGAGCAGAGAGCCCACUUCUUCUGGACCCUGGUGGAUCAUUGGCAAAAGAAAAAGGGAAGAGUGUAGGGUAGGGCUGGGAGGCCAUGUCUGAACCUUCUCUCUUGAGGAUGUUGUACAAGUGUCCACGUGGAAA